rnacentral:tRNA from 5 species
GUCGGGAUAGCUCAGUUGGUAGAGCAGAGGACUGAAAAUCCUCG